UACGUAGGCAGCGAGCGUCGUUCGGAGUUACUGGGCGUAAAGGGUGUGUAGGCGGUUGUUUAAGUUUGGUGUGAAAUCUCCCGGCUCAACUGGGAGGGUGCGCCGAAUACUGAAUGACUUCGAGUGCGGGAGAGGAGAGUGGAAUUCCUGGUGUAGCGGUGAAAUGCGUAGAUAUCAGGAGGAACACCGGUGGUGUAGACGGCUCUCUGGACCGUAACCGACGCUGAGACACGAAAGCGUGGGUAGCAAACAGG
rnacentral:rRNA from 1 species